GUUUAUAUAGUUUAAAAAAAAACUUUGGUCUUGUAAAUCAAAAUUAAGAAUAUUUACUUUAUAAACU
rnacentral:tRNA from 1 species